GAUGAACGCUAGCGAUAGGCUUAACACAUGCAAGUCGAGGGGCAGCAUGGUCUUAGCUUGCUAAGGCUGAUGGCGACCGGCGCACGGGUGCGUAACGCGUAUGCAACUUGCCUCACAGAGGGGGAUAACCCGUCGAAAGACGGACUAAUACCGCGUACACUCUAUGUUGGGCAUCCAAUGUAGAGGAAAUGAAAUUCGCUGUGAGAUAGGCAUGCGUCCCAUUAGCUAGUUGGUGAGGUAACGGCUCACCAAGGCGACGAUGGGUAGGGGAACUGAGAGGUUGAACCCCCACACUGGUACUGAGACACGGACCAGACUCCUACGGGAGGCAGCAGUGAGGAAGAUUGGUCAAUGGGCGAGAGCCUGAACCAGCCAAGUCGCGUGAAGGAUGACUGUCUUAUGGAUUGUAAACUUCUUUUAUACGGGAAUAACAAGAGUCACGUGUGGCUCCCUGCAGGUACCGUAUGAAUAAGCAUCGGCUAACUCCGUG
rnacentral:rRNA from 1 species